rnacentral:rRNA from 1 species
CAUGUAGGCGGAUUAAUAAGUUUGAAGUGAAAUCCUAUAGCUUAACUAUAGAACUGCUUUGAAAACUGUUAAUCUAGAAUGUGGGAGAGGUAGAUGGAAUCUCUGGUGUAGGGGUAAAAUCCGUAGAGAUCAGAAGGAAUACCGAUUGCGAAGGCGAUCUACUGGAACAUUAUUGACGCUGAGAUGCGAAAGCGUGGGGAGCAAACA